UAGCUGCGCUGGCUAUACUGCAAGUCGAACGCUUUUGUUUUACCGGGUGCUUGCACCCACCGAGACAAAAGAGUGGCGGACGGGUGAGUAACACGUGGGUAACCUGCCCAUAAGAGGGGGAUAACAUCCGGAAACGGAUGCUAAUACCGCAUAUUUCCAAUUGUCUCCUGACAGAUGGAAAAAAGGUGGCUUCGGCUACCGCUUAUGGAUGGACCCGCGGCGUAUUAGCUAGUUGGUGAGGUAAUGGCUCACCAAGGCGAUGAUACGUAGCCGACCUGAGAGGGUGAUCGGCCACACUGGGACUGAGACACGGCCCAUACUCCUACGGGAGGCAGCAGUGGGGAAUCUUCCGCAUUGGACNAAAGUUUGACGGAGCACUGCCGGGUGAGUAAAAAAGGUUUUCGGAUCGAAAACUCUGUUGUUAGACAAGAACAAGGUUGACAGUUACUGCUCAUCCCCUGACGGUAUCUAACCAGAGAGCCACGGCUAACUACGUGCCANCAGCCGCUGUAAUACGUAUUGUGGUAAGCCUUGUCCGUAUUUAUUGGGCGUAGAUCCAGC
rnacentral:rRNA from 1 species